rnacentral:lncRNA from 1 species
UGCAGGUGCAGUCAGGUGUAGUGGGUCCACAUGUGCAGGUGCAGUGGGUCCACAUGUACAGGUGCAGUCAGGUGCAGUGGGUCCACGUGUGCAGGUGCAGUCAGGUGCAGUGGGUCCACGUGUGCAGGUGCAGUAAGGUGCAGUGGGUCCACGUGUGCAGGUGCAGUGGGUCCACGUGUGCAGGUGCAGUCAGGUGCAGUGGGUCCACAUGUGCAGGUGCAGUGGGUCCACGUGUGCAGGUGCAGUCAGGUGUAGUGGGUCCACAUGUGCAGGUGCAGUGGGUCCACAUGUACAGGUGCAGUCAGGUGCAGUAGGUCCACGUGUGCAGGUGCAGUAAGGUGCAGUGGGUCCACAUGUGCAGGUGCAGUGGGUCCACGUGUGCAGGUGCAGUGGGUCCACGUGUGCAGGUGCAGUGGGUUCAUGUGUGCAGACGCAGUGGGUUCACAUGUGCAGGUGCAGUGGGUCCAUGUGUGCAGGUGCAGUGACUAACCGUGAACAGAGUGGUACCCUCCAGAGGCACCUCUCACAUGAGGAUUUGGGUGGGUGCAAUGUGUCCUAGAUUCCUCUCAGAGCCCACAGCACAGGGCCUCAGCCACGUAUCACUGCUGCAUGUGCCCACCG